GACGAACGCUGGCGGCGUGCUUAACACAUGCAAGUCGAACGAUGAACCCGGAGCUUGCUCCGGUGGAUUAGUGGCGAACGGGUGAGUAACACGUGAGUAACCUGCCCUUGACUCUGGGAUAACUGCGGGAAACUGUAGCUAAUACCGGAUACGACCCUCGGAGGCAUCUCCGGGGGGUGGAAAGAAUUUCGGUGAAGGGUGGACUCGCGGCCUAUCAGCUAGUUGGGGAGGUAAAGGCUCACCAAGGCGACGACGAGUAGCCGGCCGGAGAGGGUGAGCGGCGACACUGGGACUGAGACACGGCCCAGACUCCUACGGGAGGCAGCAGUGGGGAAUAUUGCGCAAUGGGCGCAAGCCUGAUGCAGCAACGCCGCGUGAGGGAUGACGGCCUUCGGGUUGUAAACCUCUUUUAGCAGGGAAGAAGCGAAAGUGACGGUACCUGCAGAAAAAGCACCGGCUAACUACGUGCCAGCCGCCGCCGUAA
rnacentral:rRNA from 1 species